AUAAAGUGAACUCAGGUGCCCUUCAAAUUUAACUACAGUAAGCUCAGGUAAAAAUGUGAGCUCAGGUGCCCUUCAAAUUCAUUAAGGUGAGCUCAGGUGCCCUUCAAAUUCAAUAAGGUGAGCUCAGGUGCCCUUCAAAUUUAACUACAGUAAGCUCAGGUAAAAAUGUGAGCUUAGGUACCCUUCAAACUUAAUAAAGUGAGCUCAGGUGCCCUUCACAUUUAACUACAGUAAGCUCAGGUAAGAAUGUGAGCUCAGGUACCCUUCAAAUUUAACAAAGUGAGCUCAGAUGCCCUUCAAAUUUAACUACAGUAAGCUCCGGUAAAAAUGUGAGCUUAGGUGCCCUUCAAAUUCAAUAAGGAGAGCUCAGGUGCCCUUCAGAUUCAACAAAGUGAGCUCAGAUGCCCUUCACAUUUAACUACAGUAAGCUCCAGUAAAAAUGUGAGCUUAGGUACCCUUCAAAUUUAACAAAGUGAGCUCAGGUGCCCUUCAUAUUUAACUACAGUAAGCUCAGGUAAAAAGUGAGCUUAGGUGCCCUUCAAAUUCAAUAAGGAGAGCUCAGGUGCCCUUCACAUUUAAUUAAAGGUAAGCUCAGGUACCCAUCAGUUAAGUUCAGGCAUAGAGUAAGCUCAUGAAAGGUGUGAGAUUAGGUGAAAAUUGAGCUCAGGUACCCAUCAAAUU